rnacentral:snRNA from 1 species
AUGUGAAGGUGACCUGGCUGCAACAGCUGUCACUCCACUGAUUGCCACAGUUCCUUUGGCUGAAUUGGCUGCUACCUGAGUGUCCCCUUCCAGCUACAUAAUU